GUCUCCUUGGUGUAGUUGGUUAUCACGUGGGUCUCAUAGCUUUCAUACUGUGACUGUUCUUCGGGCAGGAAUCCCAAGGCCGCCAGUUCGAGUCUGGCAGGGGACA
rnacentral:tRNA from 1 species